UUCCGGUUGAUCCCGCCGGACCCGACUGCUAUCAGAGUGGGACUAAGCCAUGCGAGUCAACGCAGCAAUGCGUGGCAUACGGCUCAGUAACACGUAGUCAACAUGUCCAGGGGACGUGGAUAACCUCGGGAAACUGAGGAUAAACCGCGAUAGGCCAAGAUUUCUGGAAUGGAUAAUGGCUGAAAUCUAUAUGGCCCCUGGAUUGGACUGCGGCCGAUCAGGCUGUUGGUGAGGUAAUGGCCCACCAAACCUGUAACCGGUACGGGCUCUGAGAGGAGGAGCCCGGAGAUGGGCACUGAGACAAGGGCCCAGGCCCUAUGGGGCGCAGCAGGCGCGAAACCUCUGCAAUAGGCGAAAGCUUGACAGGGUUACUCUGAGUGAUGUCCGUUAAGGGCAUCUUUUGGCACUUCUAAAAAUAGUGUAGAAUAAGGGGUGGGCAAGUCUGGUGUCAGCCGCCGCGGUAAUACCAGCACCCCGAGUGGUCGGGACGAUUAUUGGGCCUAAAGCAUCCGUAGCCGGUUCUGCAAGUCUUCCGUUAAAUCCACCUGCUCAACAGAUGGGCUGCGGAGGAUACUACAGGGCUAGGAGGCGGGAGAGGCAAGCGGUACUCAGUGGGUAGGGGUAAAAUCCUCUGAUCCACUGAAGACCACCAGUGGCGAAGGCGGCUUGCCAGAACGCGCUCGACGGUGAGGGAUGAAAGCUGGGGGAGCAAACCGGAUUAGAUACCCGGGUAGUCCCAGCUGUAAACGAUGCAGACUCGGUGAUGGGUUGGCUUCGAGCCAACCCAGUGCCGCAGGGAAGCCGUUAAGUCUGCCGCCUGGGGAGUACGGUCGCAAGACUGAAACUUAAAGGAAUUUGACGGGCGAGCC
rnacentral:rRNA from 1 species